rnacentral:rRNA from 1 species
UACGUAGGGUGCGAGCGUCAAUCGGAAUUACUGGGCGUAAAGCGUGCGCAGGCGGUAAUGUAAGACAGUUGUGAAAUCCCCGGGCUCAACCUGGGAACUGCAUCUGUGACUGCAUUGCUGGAGUACGGUAGAGGGGGAUGGAAUUCACGGUGUAGCAGUGAAAUGCGUAGAUAUCGUGAGGAACACCGAUGGCGAAGGCAAUCCCCUGGGCCUGUACUGACGCUCAUGCACGAAAGCGUGGGGAGCAAACAGG